rnacentral:rRNA from 1 species
UACGAAGGGGGCUAGCGUUGCUCGGAAUCACUGGGCGUAAAGCGCACGUAGGCGGCUUCUUAAGUCAGGGGUGAAAUCCUGGAGCUCAACUCCAGAACUGCCUUUGAUACUGAGGAGCUUGAGUCCGGGAGAGGUGAGUGGAACUGCGAGUGUAGAGGUGAAAUUCGUAGAUAUUCGCAAGAACACCAGUGGCGAAGGCGGCUCACUGGACCGGAACUGACGCUGAGGCGCGAAAGCGUGGGGAGCAAACGGG